rnacentral:rRNA from 1 species
AACGAACGCUGGCGGCAUGCCUAACACAUGCAAGUCGAACGAGACCUCCGGGCCUAGUGGCGCACGGGUGCGUAACGAGGGGGAACCUGCCCUUAGGUUCGGAAUCCCUCCCCGAAAGGGGUGUUAAUACCGGUUAAUGUCUUCGGACCAAAGAGUUAUCGCCUUUGGGUGGGCGCGCGUUGGUUUAGCCAGUUGGUAGUGUAAAAGCCUACCAAGGCGUCGAUGCAUAGCUGGUCGGAGAGCAUGAUUAGCCAGAAUGGAGCUGAGACACGGCCCAGAAUGCUACGGGAGGCUGCAGUGGGUAGUAUGGGGCGAUGAAGGCAAACCUGGUAAAGCAAUGCCGGGUAAGUGAGGAAGGCGGUAGGAUUGUGAAUCUCUCUUACCCGGGAUGAGAGUGACGGUACCGGGUGAAUAAGCACCGGCUAACUCCGUG